AUUGAACGCUGUCGGCAGGCCUAACACAUGCAAGUCGAGCGAACGGCGGACGGGUGAGUAAUGCCUAGGAAUCUGCCUGGUAGUGGGUGAUAACGUCCGGAAACGGGCGCUAAUACCGCAUACCAUCGGAUGUGGACAGCUGGGAUUAGCUAUUAGGUGGGGUAAAGGCUCACCUAGGCGACGAUCCCUAGCUGGUCUGAGAGGAUGACCAGCCAAACUGGAACUGAGACAAGGUCCAGAAUACUACGUGAGGCAGCAGUGGGGAAUAUUGCACAAUGGGCGCAAGCCUGAUGCAGCCAUGCCGCGGGUAUGAAGAAGGCCUUAGGGUUGGAAAGUACUUUCAGCGGGGAGGCGUUACCCGCAGAAGAAGCACCGGCUAACUCCGUGCCAGCAGCCGCGGUAAUUC
rnacentral:rRNA from 1 species